CAAAUGUGAUCUGGACAGAAUCAGGAAGGGAGUGAGUGGAGAAAGUCAACUGAUGAUGUUGAGGGGCCAGCAGCGACGUUAGUCACAGCAUGGGGGCUCCCUGCUCCCUCCCCUCCCCCAGCUGCUGGAGGAGGAGUGUCUGAGGAAAGGAGUGAAGAAGAGAGGAGUGGACCAUUUAUAAAGCCGGUGGCCGUGCAGAUCGAAAUCGUUUCACAUUCCCCACUCGAAAGUAACUGCAUGCAUCUCUAUCGCCAGCUCCCAGCACAGUACUCGGUAGAAGGGCAAUGGAAAGUGAUGGAAAGUGACCUGGAGAGGCUUUAGGGUCAUUGGGACUUUCUUCCUCUGACUGCAGGUGGACACUUUGCCCAUCCAGGAAGGCACCUGCCAGAGACGAGCUGGGGAAGACAAAAGUGGGCUCUCUGAGCGGGAGGGUGUGUGUGUUCACGGUGGUCGACUCUGGGUGAUGGAUCCUGAAAACUUGGCUUUCUUGCAUUUCUUACCCUGAGCAAGCGUUGCUUUUUCACUCUCAAAGGGAAAUUAGACGUAACAAAGUCGAAUGUUUGCUGAGCACUUUGUGGAGUGGUGACCGUUGCGGUAAGUGUUAAAGGAUGAACACAGAAGCCCCAGGAGCUGCGUUCAGCAGACAUCCAUCGUGAUGGUUGGUGACUUGUUUUGACUGACCAGUGCCUGUGCCACACCCACUGAUAAAUAUUUUAAUAUCUCCCCUGACCAGAAGGCAUAAUCUCUUCUUUGGAGGGAAGAUUCUAAUCUGGGGCCAGUUCCCUUUCCCAAGCCAGCAGCCCCCGUCUGAUGACGUCCUGUGUUGGUCUCUUUGCUUCUCUAAGACAGUUGCAGGAGGGCAUUCUGCCACCUCCCUCUUGGCUUCCCUGUUUCAACCUCCCAGCCCUUACAGUUCACAGUCUCCGGCUCCAGGUUGGUGUCAACACGCUAGAGCAGAGACGUCCUCAGCCCUGCUGCAUAUUUAAAACGCCAAGGCCUGAGUUGCAUCCCAGACCAGUUAAAUCAGAACCUCUGGGGGAGCCCACGGGACGGGUAUUUUCUAAGGCUUCCAGGAUGCCUCUGAUGGGCAACCAGGGUUGAGGACCACUGAGGCAGCCAGCUGGGAGAUGCAGAAGGGCCCUAGCACUGACAAAAGGGCCAGCGUGGAUUUGCUUGCCCUGCACUAGACACUAUGGAGGAGGAUGCAUAGAUGCCUGCACACAUAGGUUCCUGCCCUCUGGAGGCGUGUUGUUGAUGAGCAAGUGGAUGAGAGGCUAGAGCUUUUGCACAGAGAGACAGGAACGUUCUAUGUGAGCCCCACUGAAUCCAGUCUGGGCCAAUUCAGACAUGAGGGUCGAAAGUGCUGGGGAAGGAGGCAAUUCAGGGGGCAGGGGAAUAAUCAGGUCAGUCUUUCUGGAAGAAGUUCUGGAGGUGGUUUUGGGGAGAGAGUCCCUCACACUGGGGAACGGACUCUUCUGAUCCUAAGGGUUUUCUCCGAGACUCCUUAUCUGAUGAUCCAGGCUUUUUGUAACUCUGGCCCCCAGUGGGUGUGGCUGGCCACUCUUCAGUCCCUGCCCGGCUCUCCAGGACACCCCGACAGGACUAGGUUCAGGCAGAUAAGGACCGUGCUUGUUAGCACAGCUGUUCCCUGCAACACCCAGCGUUGUUUUCAAACCUCCGGAAAUGUGGCUACAUCCACCCAACUUCAGAGUUGGGCUUGGUUCCAAAUAAAAGGAAAUUUAGUCAGUUUUCCCAGACAUGGGGAC